UACAGAGGUCCCAAGCGUUGUUCGGAUUCAUUGGGCGUAAAGGGUGCGUAGGCGGCGCGGUAAGUCGGGUGUGAAAUCUCGGAGCUUAACUCCGAAACUGCAUUCGAUACUGCCGUGCUUGAGGACUGGAGAGGAGACUGGAAUUUACGGUGUAGCGGUGAAAUGCGUAGAGAUCGGGAGGAACACCAGUGGCGAAGGCGGCUACCUGGACCAGCACUGACACUGAGGCACGAAAGCGUGGGGAGCAAACAGG
rnacentral:rRNA from 1 species